rnacentral:tRNA from 1 species
GGGGAUGUAGCUCAGGGGUGCAGCGCCUGCCUGGCAAGCGUGAGGUCCUGAGUUCAAUUCCCGGUGUCCCCU